UACGAAGGGGACUAGCGUUGUUCGGAAUCACUGGGCGUAAAGCGCACGUAGGCGGAUUCGUAAGUUAGGGGUGAAAUCCCGGGGCUCAACCUCGGAACUGCCUUUGAUACUGCGGGUCUCGAGUCCGAUAGAGGUGGGUGGAAUUCCUAGUGUAGAGGUGAAAUUCGUAGAUAUUAGGAAGAACACCGGUGGCGAAGGCGGCCCACUGGCUCGAUACUGACGCUGAGGUGCGAAAAGCGUGGG
rnacentral:rRNA from 1 species